AUUGAACGCUGGCGGCAGGCCUAACACAUGCAAGUCGAGCGAGCGGCGGACGGGUGAGUAAUGUCUGGUAAACUGCCUGAUGGAGGGGGGUAACUACUGGAAACGGUAGCUAAUACCGCAUACCAUACGCUGUUACCAGAUGGGAUUGGCUAGUAGGUGGGGUAACGGCUCACCUAGGCGACGAUCCCUAGCUGGUCUGCGAGGAUGACCAGCCACACUGGAACUGAGACACGGGCCAGACUCCUACGGGAGGCAGAAGUGGGGAAUAUGGCACAAUGGGCGCAAGCCUGAUGCAGCCACGCCGCGUGUGUGAAGAAGGCAGUCGGGUUGUAAAGCACUUUCAGUGGGGAGGCGUUACCCGCAGAAGAAGCACCGGCUAACUACGUGCCAGCAGCCGCGGUAAUAC
rnacentral:rRNA from 1 species